rnacentral:rRNA from 1 species
AUUCCAGCUCCGCAGGUGUAUAUCUAUGCUGCUGCGGUUAAAAAGCUCGUAGUUGGAUCUGCGUGCUCGGAACUGGUUGGCUCACUGAGUUCAAACUGGUCUCCGGCGCUUUAUUGGCUGGUUUUCCCUUGAUGCUCUUAACCGGGUGUCUUGGGUGGCUAGCACGUUUACUUUGAAAAAAAUUAGAGUGCUCAAUACAGGCGUAAAGCCUUGAAUAGUGGUGCAUGGAAUAAUAGAAUAGGACCUCGGCUCUAUUUUGUUGGUUUUCGGAACGCGAGGUAAUGAUUAAGAGGGACAGACGGGGGCAUUCGUAUUGCGACGUUAGAGGUGAAAUUCUUGGAUCGUCGCAAGACGGACGACUGCGAAAGCAUUUGCCAAGAAUGUUUUCAUUAAUCAAGAACGAAAGUUAGAGGUUCGAAGGCGAUCAGAUACCGCCCUAGUUCUAACCGUAAACGAUGCCAACUAGCGAUUCGCAGGCGUUAAACAACGACCUUGCGGGCAGCUUCCCGGAAACGAAAGUGUUCGGGUUCCGGGGGAAGUAUGGUUGCAAAGCUGAAACUUAAAGGAAUUGACGGAAGGGCACCACCAGGAGUGGAGCCUGCGGCUUAAUUUGACCCAACACGGGAAAACUCACCCGGCCCGGACACCGUAAGGAUUGACAGAUUGAGAGCUCUUUCUUGAUUCGGUGGGUGGUGGUGCAUGGCCGUUCUUAGUUGGUGGAGCGAUUUGUCUGGUUUAUUCCGAUAACGAACGAGACUCUGGCCUACUAAAUAGUGGGCGGAUUCUUUCUGUCCGCAACACUUCUUAGAGGGACAAGCGGUGUUCAGCCGCACGAGAUUGAGCAAUAACAGGUCUGUGGUGCCCUUAGAUGUCCGGGGCUGCACGCGCGCUACACUGAAGGAAUCAGCGUGCUUUCUGACCUUGCCCGAAAGGGCUGGGUAACCCGAUGAAAAUCCUUCGUGAUUGGGAUAGGGACUUGCAAUUAUUUCCCUUGAACGAGGAAUUCCCAGUAAGUGUGGGUCAUAAGCUCGCGUUGAUUACGUCCCUGCCCUUUGUACACACCGCCCGUCGCUGCCCGGAACUGAGCCGUUUCGAGAAGAACAGGGACCGUCGUUGAAGGGCCUUAACGGGCUUUUCUCUGAUAGAAACUGUU